rnacentral:rRNA from 1 species
CCUACGGGAGGCAGCAGUUACCUACGGGAGGCAGCAGUGGGGAAUCUUGCGCAAUGGGCGAAAGCCUGACGCAGCAACGCCGCGUGCGGGAUGAAGGCCCUCGGGUMGUAAACCGCUUUCAGCAGGGAUGAAAAUGACAGUACCUGCAGAAGAAGCCCCGGCUAAAUACAGUG